GGCAGCCAGUGGUGCCCUUUUUUUCCACUGAGCACCUGCCCCCCCAAAAUGUCUGUGCACACCGCUGGUGAGGGGUCAUGUAGGAUCCUGUGAGCAGUGCGGGUUAUUUGCUGGUUGCAAUAUACAGAAAGGGCUCUAACAGGGUGUCCGAUGGUGAAUGUGGUGCAACAGAUUUAUUUUCCUCACUCAGGACACGGGGACCCUACGUUUUGUUGUUCCAGUUAACGAACGUCAAGGUAUUUGAUUGGAGAAGCCACAGCCCACUUGGCGCUUUCAGCCACAUUGUUCUCCGGGAUUAAAGUCACAGGAUUUCCACCUGAUGUUUUGCAUGACUUGUUUGAAGGUGU
ensembl:lncRNA